rnacentral:rRNA from 1 species
UACGUAGGGCGCAAGCGUUGUCCGGAAUUAUUGGGCGUAAAGAGCUCGUAGGCGGUCUGUCACGUCUGCUGUGAAAACCCGGGGCUUAACCCCGGGCUUGCAGUGGAUACGGGCAGACUAGAGGCAGGUAGGGGAGAAUGGAAUUCCCGGUGUAGCGGUGAAAUGCGUAGAUAUCUGGAGGAACACCGGUGGCGAAGGCGACAUCCUGGACCGGCAUUGACGCUGAGGCGCGAAAGCCAGGGGAGCAAACGGG